CCUACGGGAGGCAGCAGUGAGGAAUAUUGGUCAAUGGCCGGAAGGCUGAACCAGCCAUGCCGCGUGAAGGUCAGUGCCCUAUGGGCGUUAAACUUCUUUUGUGCGGGAGCAAUACUGGUCACGUGUGGCCAGACGAGAGUACCGUACGAAUAAGCAUCGGCUAACUCCGUGCCCGCAGCCGCGGUAAUACGGGGGGUGCAAGCGUUAUCCGGGUUUAUUGGGUUUAAAGGGUGCGUAGGCGGUGAGGUAAGUCAGCGGUGAAAUGCCCCCGCUCAACGGGGUGAAGGGCAAUUGAUACUGCCUUGCUUGAAUGCGGAUGCGGUGGGAAGAAUGUGUGGUGUAGCGGUGAAAUGCAGAGAUAUCA
rnacentral:rRNA from 1 species